rnacentral:rRNA from 1 species
AACGCGAAGAACCUUACCGGGGCUUGACAUCAGGCGACCAUUCUAGAAGUAGAGUUUCCCCGCAAGGGGACGCCUAGACAGGUGCUGCAUGGCUGUCGUCAGCUCGUGCCGUGAGGUGUUGGGUUAAGUCCCGCAACGAGCGCAACCCUCGUCGUGUGUUGGUCCAAAAGAUCUCUCACACGAGACCGCCGAUGAGAAGUCGGAGGAAGGUGGGGAUGACGUCAAGUCAGCAUGGCCCUUAUGUCCCGGGCUACACACGUGCUACAAUGGGCAGGACAACGAGCCGCAAACUCGCGAGGGUAAGCCAAUCUCUUAAACCUGUCCUCAGUUCGGAUUGAAGGCUGCAACUCGCCUUCAUGAAGUCGGAAUCGCUAGUAAACGCAGAUCAGCUACGCUGCGUUGAAUACGUUCCCGGGCCUUGUACACACCGGUAUCUC